UCAGUUAGGUAGAGCACCUCGUUUACACACGCGCCAAUG
rnacentral:tRNA from 1 species